UACACAAGUACAGAGACUCACGUUUAUUUGAAUAAAAUAGAAAGUCCCUGUAUGUUGAUGAUCGUAUGUAAACGCGUCACCUGUGGGAAAUCGUGUGGAAUCUAAUUGAGGAUCUAGAGCAGUUGUUUUCAGGUCCGAGAGCAGCUGACGCAACACAGAGAUCAGGUGACUCCUCAGGGACAUGGAGGACAGUUAAUGGUUAACAAUGAUGACACAGAAAUGUUAUUAAUAUGCUGAGGGGGGAAAAGCUAGAGACAGAUACAGUAAUCGCUGCGAUCAACUGAACUUCCUCUGUAUUACAUCACGUGUUGCCCUUCGAUACCUAAGCUUGGUACAUACAGAGUUAAUCUCAUCAGCAUCAGUGAGCCAAUAAGCACGCUGCAUGCUGUUUGACUGGGAUCUUGUGUGUGUGUUGCUCUGUGUUUGAUUCCUUGACUCAGGUUCAGGUUUGGUACAGUACGGUACAGUGCGGUCUGGAAUGGUAAAGCUCAGGCUUCCACUGAGAACUGUACCAUUACUCAGUGGACGGGGGUGUGGGCUGCACUCGAUAUGGAAUUAGAUUUGUGUCAAUAUUUUCAAACAACACUUUUUGUUUGCGAUGAUCGGAAUAUCAUUUGCUCUUUGCGCCGUGGUUUUUUUGUUGCCGAUUGGCUACUGAGUUUCGGAGCGACAGCUCAGUGGACCGGAAGCAACCGCUGUCCGCCGGGAACUCGUUCCGACAAAAAAAUAGUAAGUGUCUUUGUCAAGUUUGUCGGAUUAUAAACGUGACGAGACUUACAGUCUGCGAGAUACUUGGCGUGACGUCGCAUCGAACGUGACACAACAGACAACAAAGCAGGACAUCCAGCAGCUUUCUUCUCUAUCAACAAGACGUCAAACUUUGUAUGUGUAUGAACUGCAGUCACCUGACUGUCGUGGGCGGAGCUGGUCUAUUGACUGUACCGCACCAUUUUACUCUGGUACCCCAAAGGAAGGAUGCUAAUGAUUCUGCCGACCCUGAUGAAGAGGAGGAGGGCGACCCAUUUACAGUCAACAGUCAAGGCAAAAAAUGACUACGGUUUAUUUAUGAUGUACUCAUUUAUUUUUGUUUAUGAGUCUGUAAAAAUGAAAUUGUGUGUUUAAA